rnacentral:rRNA from 1 species
CGUCGCUAGGACGAACGCUGGCGGCGUGCCUAAUACAUGCAAGUCGAACGGUCUUUCUAUGGAAGCUUGCUUCCACUGAGAAGAUAGUGGCGAACGGGUGAGUAACACGUGGGUAACCUGCCCAUAAGAGGGGGAUAACAUCCGGAAACGGGUGCUAAUACCGCAUAGUUUUCUUGAUCGCAUGAUCGGGAAAGGAAAGACGGCCUUUGUGCUGUCGCUUAUGGAUGGACCCGCGGCGUAUUAGUUAGUUGGUGAGGUAACGGCUCACCAAGACGAUGAUACGUAGCCGACCUGAGAGGGUGAUCGGCCACAUUGGGACUGAGACACGGCCCAAACUCCUACGGGAGGCAGCAGUAGGGAAUCUUCCGCAAUGGACGAAAGUCUGACGGAGCAACGCCGCGUGAGUGAAGAAGGUUUUCGGGAAUCGUAAAACUCUGUUGUCAGAGAAGAACAAGUUGGAGAGUAACUGCUCCAGCCUUGACGGUAUCUGACCAGAAAGCCACGGCUAACUACGUGCCAGCAGCAGC